rnacentral:sRNA from 1 species
AACACCAGUUCAGUGACUUCUCUUUCAUACCACUUCGACAUCUACUCUAUACUAUUUUAAAACCCUCCUCUCAUUCAAUCUAACUAUACCCCCAUAGCUCUUCUCGAAGCUCCAAGUCACUCAACUCCUACAAUAUGUUUGCUCCAGGCCAUCCGCAGCUCUCUGAGGUCGAGAUAAAGGCUGGAGAAAAGGAGGCGUAUCAAACUGUGAAGACGGUCAUUGCAGGCAGCAUUGUCCUAUACCUCUCACCCUUCGCGAUAAGUUUCGUCAAGAAGCUUUUCUAAGCCGUGCCUCAGAGCAUGUGUAUAGUACGCAGAUUACAUUUUUCAAACAUGGGAUCUAUCAAAUCAAAUAGAUCCCCUGAGCUAAACGAAACGGAUUCGAUUGGUUCCCGGUGCCGGUGGAACCUAUUUUUUUUUUUUUUUUUUUUUUUUUUUAAUCUGAUUUCCAAAUCAUGGAUACGGGGUGUUUGCGUAAAAUAUUUAUCUCUAAAGAGAGAACCCCCGGGGGGGAAGGGCUGGUUUUUGGUUGGUGAUAGCUACUAGACUCAUGUGUAUUGUAUAUGUAUCUCUGCAUCGUACUCUUCAUGUAGAAUAAUUAUCCGGCAAGCGAAGGGUUAGGUUAUGGGAUGUAAAAUGAAAAUGAUGGACUGAUAUAUAUAUAUAGUAAAGCUCUCUCAAUUUUUUUUCUUUUUCUUUUUUUUUUAUUUUCUUUUUUGGGGUUUACAGGAUGAUCCAUUGCUGAUAGUUUCCAAUAUUUCCACCCCGUUACGCCACUGGGAUAUAUAUUCCUGAGCUUAUAAGAGAAAAGAGGAAUAGAAGAAAACAGAAAAUAAUUUCCCGCUCAAUUCAAUGAUAAUAUAUUGAAUGUGAGAAGAAGAACAAUAAAACUAAAAACUAAACUAGAGCCGAAAUCACAGGAAGCACACUUCAUGUCGAGGAUCCGUGUAUUGUUUCAAAAUCCCUCUGCGCAGCGGCAAGCUCCUUAUUCAAAUGCUGGAUCUGUGCAGCAUAGCUUUCCAGAAUCUUCUUAGCCGUCUUCAGAGCACUCUCAUCCAAUUCAUCGUCGGCUUGUUGGUUAGACUCUUGGCCAGUUUUCUCCACUUCCAGCUGCAGGCGCUUCGACUGUUCACGGAUAGCCAACAUUCUGGCCCAGAUUUCCUCCGUGCGGCCAUUGAGGGAGGGGUCGAACACGGAGCGCUCUAGUUGGUGAAGCUUCUUCUGCAACUCCUCCUCGGUCCCAUCCAUAGCGUACCCGCGAUUCCUCAAUAUCUGCGUUUUCGCCGCAAGGGCAAGACAUCUCUGACUGAGGACUAUAUGUUUUCGUCGGCAGGCGGCAAUCUUAACCGAAAUUUUCAGGUCGUGACGCGAGAGGAGCUCUGUGAGAGCGUUAUUGAUUUCAUGCAGGCGGACUUGCAUCAUGGCGAGGAAAUCCCGCUGUCGCUGUGCUCGUUUUCCCAGCUCCCAAAACCCCUGGACGAGCACAGGCACGUAACCCGGACCAGGUCUUUUCCGCAGCGCUUCCUCCCAUUUUGCUUCGUCAUCAUUCGGCCC